rnacentral:ncRNA from 1 species
UUAAAAAUGUUGAAGAAGAAAAUACAAAACUAGAUAUACAGAGAGAUAUGGGUUGGUGCGACAUAUUUAUUGAAUUUUGUUGGUUCGCUUUGAAAUUGCCAUUAUGGUCGUAUAGAGUGCGUUAAACUUACGAGUGAUGUUAUCAUAAAUUGGGUGGUACCGCGGAAAUACAAUCUUUCGUCCCAUAG